UACGGAGGGUGCAAGCGUUAUCCGGAUUCACUGGGUUUAAAGGGUGCGUAGGUGGGCAGGUAAGUCAGUGGUGAAAUCUCCGGGCUUAACCCGGAAACUGACCAUUGAUACUAUCAGUCUUGAAUACCGUGGAGGUAAGCGGAAUAUGUCAUGUAGCGGUGAAAUGCUUAGAUAUGACAUAGAACACCAAUUGCGAAGGCAGCUUACUACCCGAAUAUUGACACUGAGGCACGAAAGCGUGGGGGAUCAAAACAGG
rnacentral:rRNA from 1 species